rnacentral:tRNA from 1 species
GCCUUGAUGGUGAAAUGGUAGACACGCGAGACUCAAAAUCUCAUGCUGAAGAGCGUGGAGGUUCGAGUCCUCUUCAAGGAA